AGUCGGUGCUGUACGACUUGCCUCGACACGUCUCUGGCGAACUGUUGGCUAUGCAGCGCAGUAAAUACAUCCUUAGCAUACCUUUCAUGAAGUAUGUUCACGCAAAAGACUUAAUGGACGUGUCGUCUGGUGCGCGGCUGUUCCAUACCUCGCCCAACGAGAUCCUCCUUAGCACCGGUGACAUCAGCAACGAAAUGUACAUCAUCAAGCAGGGAAUGUGCGAGGUUAUAAACCCCAUCACUAAGAACG